rnacentral:lncRNA from 1 species
CAGUGUUUAAUAAGGACAUGAUGGAACAUCGUAGGCUACCCUGUAGCUUUUCAACGAAUAAAGUCCUAUGAAAAAUCCUAUGAUUGUCUUUGUUCGGAAAUUUGUGACGCAUUCAAGGACGGGGGAUAAAUUGUUCAAUUUUUGUUUAAAUGGAGAUAUAAGCAAAAUUAUAUUCAAAUUUUAAGUCUUAGAAUGUAAUUUCCCGCCAUCUAGAUGUGCCAUAAUCACAAAUGUUCCGUACCUCAGCCCCAACCAUGGUGGGGCUGAGGUGGUAGAGUCCUCCAUCUACUAAAGUAACCAGUGGCGAAUUCAAUGGGGACCCAACCGGCCCGCCUCCGCCCCUAAAUUGUUUAAAAAAUGGAGAUAUGAAGAUAAUUAUAUUCAAAUUUUAUGUCUGGAAGUGCAAUUUCCCGCCAUCUAGAUGUGCCAUAAUCACAAAUUUUCUUACCUCAGCACCAUUCAUGGUGGGGCUGAGGUAGUAUAAAUUUUAUAUCUGUGAAAGUACUCUCCCUGGGUCCUUCUAUUUCUAAUUCCUGGAUCCGCCACUGGAAAUUACAACAAAUAUGAAGUCAUAUUACAGUAGCUUGAUGGCUAUAAAAUAACCACCAGGGUAUAGCCAACAGGGGGCCCUUUGCGCCCUCCCUGGCCCCAACCUAGAUGCUCGCUUCUCUCGCAUAUUGGACCUUAAGAAAUGGUCCCCCCCCCCCACUUUUAAAAAACGUUCCGCCGCCGUUGGGUGACUUAUUUUAUAAGAGUGCCAUUUCCGGCCAGCUUGAGGUACUUUUACCUCAAAUUUUCGCACCUCAGCCUCAACUAUGUUGGAGCUUGGGUGGGUUUCGACUCACGGCUUUGAAGUCGGUUAAACAAAGUAUAUACAUCAAAGAAAAUGUUUUAUUUUCUUGGUAAAUCACACAUAUUAAUUGGAUCUCUAUGGUUGCCGAGAGAAAUUUUUUUACUAUAAUGAUGAUUUAAUGACGAAUUUUACUACAUAACAGGGUCGUUUCUGGCCGUCAAGAGGUACUAUUUCCACAAAUUUUCGCACCUCUGCCCCAUGACCAUGGUGGGGUUGAUAUAGAUGUGACUCGUCUUUGAAGGAGGUUGCACUAGAUAAGGUACAUUUUGUCUCAAAGGACUAUUUUGCAUCUUUAAAAAAGCCAACAUGCAAGUAGACUGGUAUGUGCUGCAAUGACAAACAAAAAAAUAUACAGUAUCUGCAAUAGUUGAAUACCCAGAUAUCCAGUCAGCAGCUGUAAAAACCAAGAUGACUAAAAUAUGUGAAGAUACAAGGCGCUCCAUGUCAAAGAGAAUGGAUACAGCAGCUAAUAUUUAACAACAGGCGCUUAAUAUGCAGUAAUUUUUUAAUUUUAAAUUGUAAUUAUCUUUGCUAAAGGUAACUUAGCAAAGUGUUGUAAUUAAAUUUAAAAAAAAAGUUUAUUUCAUAUCCUACAGAUGAGCUGCAGCAUGCUUUACCAUAUAAGUAACUGUUCGUCUAUAUGCAAUAAAAAGAAUUUAAACAAUUGUAAACUCAUUGCUACAUUAACUUAACAACUAUUAAAAUCCUUGACUAAUUUUAAGCAAAACAAUACCUUUAGUGUGAAGCAGUUACUGUAUGCAUUUGACUAAUGUAUGUUUUUAACUUAAAAAUGUUAUAACACAUAUAUAAUUCGUCUGACUAUUAUGCAAUAAUCUUAUGAAAGUGCUAAUAUAUGUAUUUAAAAGU